GACGAACGCUGGCGGCGUGCUUAACACAUGCAAGUCGAACGGAAAGGCCCUGCUUUUGUGGGUCGCUCGAUUGGCGAACGGGUGAGUAACACGCGUGUAACCUGCCCCUGACUUUGGGAUAACUUUAGGAAACUGGGGCUAAUAUCGGAUAGGAGCUCCUGCUGCACGGUGGGGGUUGGUAAGUUUCGGCGGUUGGGGCUGGACUCGCGGCUUAUCAGCUUGUUGGUGGGGUAGUGGCUUACCAAGGCUUUGACGGGUAGCCGGCCUGGGAGGGUGACCGGCCACAUUGGGACUGAGAUACGGCCCAGACUCCUACGGGAGGCAGCAGUGGGAAAUAUUGCACAAUGGGCGGAAGCCUGAUACAGCAACGCCGCGUGCGGGAUGACGGCCUUCGAGUUGUAAACCGCUUUCGCCUGUGACGAAGCGUGAGUGACGGUAAUGGGUAAAGAAGCACCGGCUAACUACGUG
rnacentral:rRNA from 1 species